AUAGCAGCACGGCUGCUCUCGCGAGAUUGGCUGACGUGGCGUGGGGCGUUGCCAGGGCAACGGCUCUGCGUCCCCGCCCCUUGCCUAGAAAAAGCGUCGGGGAGAGCAGCGUCGUGUCGUUGCGCACCAUGGGCGGAGGGGAGGAGUCUGGGUGUGUGAAUCACGUGGGACUUUCAAACGCGGAGAAGCCCAGCAACUGCAGUGAUUUCACAGACGUGCUCACCCCAGCCAGCAGUGUCUUGAGAAGCUACAGACUCCAUGGCCAAGGAAUGAACCAUCCUAGCCUAGCAGUUGGCCAUGAACUGACGUGUUUGCUGCAAAUCCUUGUCCUCUGCCUGAAAGAGUAAGGAACUGGGAGACGUGAGACUGCUCUUCCGGUAAGGUCAUUUAUGCCUACCCUUUUUUCAUCCUGGUUUUCCUGGGGCUGAAAUGUCCAUGCUUGUGCUUUGAAGGGAGCUCUGUUGUCUGUGUGUGCAGUCCGGUGUGGCACCUGGAAACCCAGUACUGUCCAUGGUAGUGUGGUGAAUUUGCAGGUGUUGGCCUCUAUCUUUGUACUGGUGACCUGAGAUUCCAGGAUGGAUGUCAAAAAACUGCAUCAGGCAUGGAUAUUAUGCAAGUAAUGCGGUGAGCAACACGCAUGAGGGAGAAAAAGGUGGUGAAGCCCCGGCUGCCUUUAGGGAUGGAUGGUGGCUGCUUGUAUGUGGUUGGUUUGUGUGUCUCUUGCAGCCUGGCAGAUAUCCAUGAAUUGACAUGUUUGUUACAAGGGCUUGUCCUCUACCUGAAAGAGUAAGGAAAUGGGAGACUUGAGCCUUCUCUAAUGGUAAGGUCAUUUAUGCCCACCCGUUUUUCAUCCUCAUGGUUUUCCUGCGUCGGAAAUCUC
ensembl:lncRNA